rnacentral:rRNA from 1 species
UAUUGGACAAUGGGCGCAAGCCUGAUCCAGCCAUGCCGCGUGAGUGAUGAAGGCCUUAGGGUUGUAAAGCUCUUUCACCGGAGAAGAUAAUGACGGUAUCCGGAGAAGAAGCCCCGGCUAACUUCGUGCCAGCAGCCGCGGUAAUACGAAGGGGGCUAGCGUUGUUCGGAAUUACUGGGCGUAAAGCGCACGUAGGCGGACUUUUAAGUCAGGGGUGAAAUCCCGGGGCUCAACCUCGGAACUGCCUUUGAUACUGGAAGUCUGGAGUAUGGAAGAGGUGAGUGGAAUUCCGAGUGUAGAGGUGAAAUUCGUAGAUAUUCGGAGGAACACCAGUGGCGAAGGCGGCUCACUGGUCCAUUACUGACGCUGAGGUGCGAAAGCGUGGGGAGCAAACAG